UACAGAGGUCCCAAGCGUUGUUCGGAUUCAUUGGGCGUAAAGGGUGCGUAGGCGGCGCGGUAAGUCGGGUGUGAAAUCUCGGGCUUAACUCCGAAACUGCAUUCGAUACUGCCGUGCUUGAGGACUGGAGAGGAGACUGGAAUUUACGGUGUAGCGGUGAAAUGCGCAGAUAUCAGGAGGAACACCCGUAGCGAAGGCGGCACUCUGGGCCGAUACUGACACUGAGGAGCGAAAGCGUGGGGAGCGAACAGG
rnacentral:rRNA from 1 species